AGGAAAGAUGGCGGCUGGAUCCGGAGCGGCCAGCAGUGGUCACAGCGGUGGCCGCGGCUCGUCGGCCGCUUUGGAGUCAUCGCUGGACCGCCGUUUUCAAGGAGUCACCAACACCAUGGAGUCCAUACAGGGAUUAUCCUCAUGGUGCAUCGAGAAUAAGAAACAUCACAGUCUCAUCGUGCGCUACUGGAUGAAGUGGCUGAAGAAAUCGGAUGCCAAUCACAGGCUCAAUCUCUUCUACCUCGCUAAUGAUGUCAUUCAGAACUGCAAAAGGAGAAACGCUAUUAUCUACAGAACCACCUUCGCUGACGUGCUGCCAGACGCCGCCCUGCUGGUCAAGGAUGCUAAAGUGUGUAAGUCAGUGGACAGGAUCUUCAGUAUUUGGCAAGAGAGGAAUGUUUAUCCUGAGGAGUUGAUCUCUGAGCUGAAGGCCAGCCUGCAGAAGAAGGAGAAAGAGGAGAAAGAGAAAGAAAAGUCGAAAGAGAAGGAGAAAGAGAAAGCAAAGGCGAAAGAGAAGGAGAAAGAGAAAGCAAAGGCGAAAGAGAAGGAGAAAGAACAGCCUCCUCCUGCCCCAGUCAACCCCAAAACUGCCCUGAAGUCUAAAAUUGUUGCAGAGUUUGUACCCCAUGAUUUUAUGGAGCGAUUGGUGUCAUAUAAGCGCUCUUUAGAGGAGAGUGAUUUGAGAGAGAAGCAGUUAGCCACACUGAGAGUGGACGUCUGCAGCACUGAAGCCCUCAAGAGAUUGAAAGAUAAAGCAGGAGGAAAUAAGUUCUCGAAGGACUUGGAGGAGGGAAGUGCAAAACUGCAGGAGUUUGUGACGUUCCUGGAGGGCCAGAUGAAGGCCGGGCCCCCACUGCUAGAGGCGCUGGGGAACGCAGACAUCUUUUAUGAGAUGCAAUACAAAGAGGUCAAAAUUGUCGUUAACGCUUAUAAGGCUUUCGCCAACCGUGUCUGUAGCCUGAAGCGUAAACUGGAUGCUCUGAAGGCCACAUUGCCCAGUCUGGACGAUUCUCCCGUCCCGUCGCCCUCUGAGGACGCCCCAUCCCCCACCGGCUCCGAGUCACCCUUCCAUGCCAUAGGCUCCAGGAGCGCCGUGGGUACCGGGGGACGAGGGUUGGAGCAGCAGAGAGACAACAGAGAUAUUGAGGACAUGGACAUGUCUGAGGAAGAGGACGCAACAGCAAACAAUGGAAUUACUGACGAGAGGAAAGAGAAGUCAUCCCUUCCAUCUGUGUCCAAGAUAACAAAUGCUGCAGCCACAAAAAUCUCCCAGAUCACCGUUUCUAAACCGCCCCAGACUUUAUCACCUCCCAGAAACACAGUAUCUGGGUCAGCAACCAAUCAGACACCCCCUGCUAACACUACACCCAUCACCAACAUACCUGGACCUGCCCCUGUCGUUAGCCCCUCCCCCCUGCAGGUAAACCUGGCCAAUGUGGAUCUGGGCAAGAUCAGCUCCAUUCUCAGCUCUCUCUCCAAUGCAAUGAAGACCACAGGUGUCAGUCCUGUGUCUCGUCCUUCCCCUGGUACACCCACCACACCAUCUAGCCACGCCGCCUCUUCCAAAGCCCCUCCUUCAACCCCUGGCAGCAUUCCCUCAUCUAGUUCUCUAGCCAGCAUCCUAUCCAAAGUGGACAUCUCCCCCGAGAGCAUCCUCAAUGUUCUCACCAAAACACAGACUCACAGCCCUAAGCUGCAGGGUUUGUCUUCUCUCCUUUCCUCAGCUCGUUCAGGCUCUCUUACCACCCCAGACACCUCUUCAUCAACUACUUCCUCUUCAGAUGUCACCCCAGCAGUAACCUCUUCCGCAACUACACCAACAACACCUAAGAUGCAGAAGCUCACAGGCAACAAUUUCAAGCGAGAAUCUGUGCGAGAGAAAGGGAGAGAGUGGGAGAAGGCGAAGGAGAUUGAAAAAGAGAGAGAUCGAGAAAGAAAAGAAAGAGUGAAGGAAAGCGGGAAAGAGGCAGUUGCCUCUACCGCGGCAGUGCCUAGCUUGGAGUCGAAGAUCAACAGUUUCCUUCAGGGCAAUCCUGGUUUUAGUGCUCUCGGACUUGGUCUGGAUGACGUGAGCAGCAAUAGCCCUCUCCUUGUUGGAGGGGACAACCUGGAUGGCACCCCUGUCCGAGAUGAGAGCGGUAGCACGCCCACCCAAGAUGAAAUCAUGGACUCACCCCAGGUCGUCAAUGACCCCCAGAGUGCAGGUUUGCCUGGAAGUCCUAACCUUUCACCUACGGCCUACCACAGUGACCCUUGGGAUGCCGUAAUCACUCCACGUGAGGUUCUUGGAGAGAACGAACGGAAAGACAGGGAUUACCGCACACCACCAGCCUCAAGACUUGCUGUCUUGAAUGCUACUAAACCAGUCAAGGCAAUGACCAAAACCAAAGAGGAAGAAGGGCUGAAGAGAAAAGUAGUGGGUUUGAACGUUCCAUCAGCUUCUAUGUCACAAGAUCAGACAGUAAAAGCCAAGAUGGAAGGACCUAGAGGGAAAAGCACAGCCUCCCGCAAACCAAUUGGUGGUGAAGAUGGGAUGAAGGACAAGGAAAGGACAGCUUCUGCUCACAACGGAGAGCACUACCAUCAAAUUAAGACUCUUGUUUCUUUGGCCUCCAAUGAGGGAGCACCAAUCGAAACCCUUGAUUAUGGCAACCGCAUCCAAACAGUGGAAAGCAUCCGUGUGAUUGGAAGAGGCUUGAGGAGAGGGAGCAGUGCUGGCUCUAGAGUGGCUGGGGCCUGGUAUGAAGAGGAGGAGUUUAUUGAAGCCCCACCUACACCUCAUCCUGACAGCCAUAGCUCUGAGAAUUCUGAGGAGUUGGGAUUGGCCCCUCCUCCUCCUGGUCAUCUUCCACCCCCGUUGCAGUACCCACCUCCACCCUACGCUACAGAGGACCCCACUCGACCUUCUCAUGCCAUUCCCCAGCACCAUCCUCCCCCUCCAUUCUAUCCCCCCACUUCCCUUUCUCCUAUUCCACCACCCCUUCCACCCAUACCUCAAGCCCCGCCACCUCCAAGAGACUUCCCUCUUUCCCCGACUUCCACCGUUAUGGUCGGUGGUGUCCUUGUACCCAUAGACCGUAUCCUGCCUUACCCACCUGCCAAUCUCCGUCCAGAUGGAGUGGGGCAUGGGCUUGGAAACUGUGGUGGUGCCCCUCAAAGAGGCAGCAAACCCCAACUCCCUUCCUUGUUGGGAGAACCCCCUCGCCCAGGCAUGUUGAAAGAGCAGUUCACCCUCCUCCACUCCCCACCUCUUCAUCGUCCUGGCACCCCUGGAGUGCCCCCACCACUUUUGGGCAGAGUUCGAGAGGGUCUCAGCCCCACCCCGCCAUCACCCUCUACCCCAACCACACCUACUCCAUCUCCAUUAGGAGAACCCCGUCCUCUUCUGUCUAUCCCCAACCGCCCAACCAUUAACAUCCCAAAUCAGAGAGCGCGUCGCCCCUCGCCACCUCAGCCCCUCCACCACUUACCAAACCAGCAUCACUCGCUGCGUUCCCCUCAGUUUCCCAGAGGGUCCCUGCCCCUUCCACCACCCUCUCUUAACCGUGAGCCCCUCCUGCCUGGGGGAAAGCGCCCUGCUGCCAGUUUUAGCGGUGGCCCUUUUAACCCAUCCAAAAGACCAUUCUUGCCCCCUCGUUAUUAGCAUCUUAAAUGCUAAACAUGCUCUACAUCACCUGAAAUAGAACAGGCAGUAUAGUAAAAGCUAGCGUCACCUGCAAAUUGCAGCGUGAGACUUUAACUGCAUGUAAAUACACAUGCCCUGCCCCAGAGCAACCACACGUUACUGCACUUCUCUUCUUAGACAAAGAGAAGGUUACAAAUAACUUAGGGAUGAACUAAGAGGAGAAGAAUGUGGAGUUCCUGAUAAAACCAUGGAAUAUGAAGGAAAUCAAAAGCUGCAGCCAUCUGCCUAACAGAGCGCCUACGGGUUUUCGAGUCUUUAUUUGAGCGGCAGGUGCAGAUAACUGGAGCUCCAGGACAAGAUCUGAUCAUCCGAUUGGCUGAUGGCAAAACAGUGAAAGGGGCAGCUGGUGUCACGACACCAUUAUGGAUUGCACAGAAUGAACGUGUUAAAGGUGCUGUGGUGGACAGAGUGAAUGGAGAGUUGUGGGAGCUCGGUCGCCCUCUUGUGGCGGACUGUGAACUGCAAGUACUGGGUUUCCACAGUAAAACGAGUGCUAUCAUAACCUGAAAGGCUGCUCAGCAAGGAAGAUGCCACUGCUCCAAAACCACAAUAAAAAAGCCAGACUUCAGUUUGCAAGUGCACAUGGUGACAAAGAUCUUACUUUUGGAGAAAUGAUCUCUGGUCUGAUGAAAUAAAUAUUUAACUGUUUGGCCAUAAUGACCAUCUUUAUGUUUGGAGGAAAAAUGGUGAGGCUUGCAAGCCGAAGAACAUCAUCCCAACCAUGAAGCAUGGGGGUGGCAGCAUCAUGUUGUAGUGGUGCUUUGCUGCAGGAGGGACUGGUGCACUUCACAAAAUAGAUGGCAUCAUGAGGAAGGAAAAUUAUGUGGAUAUAUUGAAGCAACAUCUCAAGACAUCAGCCAGGAAGUUAAAGCUCGGUCGCAAAUGGGUCUUCUAAAUGGACAAUGACCCCAGGCAUACCUCCAAAGUUGUGGCAAAAUGGCUUAAGGACAACAAAGUCAAGGUAUUGGAGUGGCCAUCACAAAGCCCUGACCUCAAUCCGAUAGAAAAUUUGUGAGCAGAACUGAAAAAGCGUGUGUGAGCAAGGGGGCCAAAAAACCUGACUCAGUUACUCCAGUUCUGUCUGGAGGAAUGGGCCAAAAUUCCAGCAACUUAUUGUGAGAAGCUUGUGGAAGGAUACCUAAAACGUUUGACCCAAAUUAAACAAUUUAAAGGCAAUGCUACCAAAUACUAACAAAGUGUAUGUAAACUUCUGACCCACUGGGAAUGUGAUGAAAGAAAUAAAAGCUGAAAUAAAUCAUUCUCUGUACUAUUAUUCUGACAUUUCAUAUUCUUAAUAUAAAGUAGUGAUCCUAACUGACCUAAGACAGGGAAUGUUUUUUAUGAUUAAAUGUCAGAAAUUGUGAAAAACUGAGUUUAAAUGUAUUUGGCUAAGGUGUAUGUAAACUUCUGACUUGAACUUGUACGUACCCCUAGUCGGGAAUCUCUGAUCUGUACUAGUAUAUAAUAUACACUGCCAGUAAAAAGUUUUGAAAAACUUGA